rnacentral:rRNA from 1 species
GGACUACACGGGUUUCUAAUCCUGUUUGCUCCCCACGCUUUCGCGCCUCAGCGUCAGUUACAGCCCAGAAAGUCGCCUUCGCCACUGGUGUUCCUCCACAUCUCUACGCAUUUCACCGCUACACGUGGAAUUCCACUUUCCUCUUCUGUACUCAAGCCUUGCAGUUUCCAUCGCGAUACGGGGUUGAGCCCCGAACUUAAACGACAGACUUACAAAGCCGCCUGCGCGCGCUUUACGCCCAAUAAUUCCGGACAACGCUUGCCCCCUACGUAUUACCGCGGCUGCUGGCAC